UGUUGUUGUUAGUUUGGGGGCCUAAUACUACAAAGCCCUAAACUUCUGCAAAUUGGUGAUUGGCAGCACUAUGUUCAGCACCUCACAGGAUGGGGACAGUAUAGACUGUAAUUUGUACUCAGGCAGGAGAGGGGCGGGAACUCUGCCUGAAGGGAAGGGACCUGGGAGCAUGGAGCUCGGGGAGGAACCACCGUGUAGCAGAUACCACAGACAGCUGGAGCAACAGAGAGCUUCUCUUCCCCAGGCAGGCUCUAGCAGACAGCAGGACUUUCUGAAGCAGCAGCACCAGCCAUGGUUAUUGUGCUGCCAGUGUGAAGGAGAGCUGAUGUCUUGUUAACCCUGUGUGCUCCAGCUGAAAUUCCCCAGAGUCUCAAGGUUUAAGCUGGGGCGUUGUACUGAGGAUGUCUUUGAUUCAAUUUGUACAGUGUUUUGAUACCUGCCUUUGACAAUUUGAUUAUUGAUACCCUGUUCUGCUUUUAACCUCAUUCAUAUGUUGACUGUUUUGUAAAUAAUAAACUGUGUAAAUAGGUAUGUACUCCAGUGUGUUGGAAAAGCUCUCCACGGAGAGGUGGCCCCAGCUUUAUGGGCUGAGAGGUUGAUGAGGCAGAAGUUGG